rnacentral:rRNA from 1 species
AAAGCGUGCGCAGGCGGUUUUGUAAGUCAGAUGUGAAAUCCCCGAGCUCAACUUGGGAACUGCGUUUGAAACUACAAGGCUAGAGUAUGGUAGAGGGGGGUAGAAUUCCACGUGUAGCAGUGAAAUGCGUAGAGAUGUGGAGGAAUACCAAUGGCGAAGGCAGCCCCCUGGACUAAUACUGACGCUCAUGCACGAAAGCGUGGGGAGCAAACAGGAUUAGAUACCCUGGU